GAGUCUGAUCCUGGCUCAGGACGAACGCUGGCGGCGUGCCUAACACAUGCAAGUCGAACGGAGAACUCGAAAAGCUUGCUUUGAGAGUUCUUAGUGGCGGACGGGUGAGUAACGCGUGGGCAACCUCCCCCUUAAACCGGGACAACCCUUGGAAACGAGGGCUAAUACCGGAUACGCUUUUCUGAGGACAUCCUCGGGAAAGGAAAGGCGGCCUCUGAAGAUGCUGCCGAUAAGGGAUGGACCCGCGUCUGAUUAGCUGGUUGGUGGGGUAAAGGCCUACCAAGGCGACGAUCAGUAGCCGGCCUGAGAGGGUGAACGGCCACACUGGGACUGAGACACGGCCCAGACUCCUACGGGAGGCAGCAGUGGGGAAUCUUCCGCAAUGGACGAAAGUCUGACGGAGCAACGCCGCGUGUAUGACGAAGGCCUUCGGGUUGUAAAGUACUGUCUUUAGGGACGAACGGUAUCUAUGUGAAUAAUGUAGGUACAUGACGGUACCUAAGGAGGAAGCCCCGGCUAACUACGUGCCAGCAGCCGCGGUAAUACGUAGGGGGCGAGCGUUGUCCGGAAUCAUUGGGCGUAAAGGGCGCGUAGGCGGAUUUUUAAGUCUGGUGUGAAAACUUGGGGCUCAACCCCAAGCCUGCAUCGGAAACUGGGAAUCUUGAGGACAGGAGAGGAAAGUGGAAUUCCACGUGUAGCGGUGAAAUGCGUAGAGAUGUGG
rnacentral:rRNA from 1 species